GAGAGAAGAACACAUAACCACUCUAAGGAGGUUAUAUGUGGUGCUUUAUUCCGAGGCCCCGGGAACCAGGGGUACCCACCCAAAUCUGGUUCCGAAGACCGUUACAACGUGCUCACAAUUUAUCCUGUAAAGUAUUACAUAUGCAUCACCUUUCCCACUAUGCUGAUACAUAUUCAUGACCUAUCCCCGCUUCGUAUUAUAAUGAGUACAAAAGUCAUUUCCAUAUGUUCUGCGCUUGCGCAGUGCCUCCUGGUGGUCGUGGGCAGGGGUCUCAAGAUGAAGUAAGUAGUCUUCCUCAGAUGAAGUAAGACGUCUUCCUCGCUGUGUACUUUUCACCUUUUGAGUCCUGGAUAGGUUCCAACGAUGAUGCUUUCACCAGCAUUCUUCUUAUCUCUUUCUGACUGGUACUGGUAUGCAUCUUCGUUUCUUAUCUUAAAGGUUCUGCUUUGAAGUAACCUGGGGAGUACUGCUUCGCCUGGGGAGUACUGCUUCGCUUGGAUAGUCUCAUAUAUUUAUCUCCACGUCCUAGUUACCAAACUUUCCAGUAGCCUUGAGUGCAGACACCCAGCUCGGCCAAGGUCUGUCUUUGCUGUCAGGACUUUUUAUGCGGUACUAAAAAAACUCAGCAAGUUUCAAACUGUUAGCAACAGGCUUAACGGAACAUAAAUCAAGCAACUCACAAGUCUAAUUACUCUAUAUAUCUAACAUUUCCCCCCUUUGAAAAUACUUCAUCUUUUGCAAGUAUUUUCACUCAUGUAGUAGUUUCCUGAUAGGUAAGAGGAGGAGUUAUUGGGUGUCGUGGAUAUUCUCGUGUCACUGCUCCAAUGAUUUUAUGUGUCCAACUGGUAUUCCGGGUUAUUUCUCUUCGAAUGCAAAAAUAUACCAAAUAGAUUACGAGGAACACAAGCAAUAGGGUACACACUGUCUCUAUGAGGGAAUGAAUCCACCCAGUAAGGUGAAUUCCCAAUCCAUCAAAUAAUGCUCCUACCCAAUUUUGACUUAUUUCUUCCUUUUCCUUGUCAGCCU
rnacentral:lncRNA from 1 species